UUCGUGUACUAUCGUGUAUGAAGUCAGUUCCCGUUUUAUCAUUAUUGGAAUGGAUUGGAAUGGCUCUUAGCUGAAGCUUCUGUCUUCUCUGAAGCUUAGAAAACAUUAUUCUGAAGACUUAGCUGAAGCUUCUGUCUUCUCUGAAGCUUAGAAAACAUUAUUCUGAAGACUGAACAACAAGGGAAGAGGUAUAAAGCUUUGUCAAGCUUAUUAAGGAGCAAUGGCUAUCCCAACAGUGCUCCUCUUGGCUAUACUAACGGACGAGACUGGACAGUUUGAGGUAAGGGUUUAACCGUCUUUAAUAUUGUGCUAUAUUCCCAGGAUUGGAGUAUGACCUGCUCGUUCGAGCGUUGCUGGGUAGCUCAGAGGCAUCAAGAGAAUCUACGUUUUCAAAAUUUAACUGAUUUACGAGUUGGGGCCUAGAAUCAGAGAAGUCCAGCAGCCUGCUAAAUCUUUUUGAAACGUAAUUUGAAGGCAUUCAAUCAUCCUGAAGUUGUCCUGGGUCACUGUAAUCGUGCUGCAGCACAACUGGCAACUCCUCAGGCCCUUGUGAAGCAGCUCUCUAUGUGCAUAUUUUGUGUACUCACUCUGUGCAUUUUCUGUGUACAAAUUUCGAAAUAUUUUUUCCGACCACAAAUACAAUGAAAAUUUGACGCUUGCGCAGACAACUAGUACCAGGCCCAGUUGUUCGCCUAACCGUUAUAAAAGUGAAAACUCGGCCUGGGAUCGAGGCUAAGACGGGCAUCACAAGUUGGUGAGAUGGAGAUUUGUGACAUGCAUUGAUGGAUUCUCACGUAUGAUCGUUUAGAACGUGCAUUGCUCAAUAGCAACAAGGCAUUAAUUGUAUAUGGAAAAGGAUUUGAAGCGUUGUUCAUGAGCCAGAGGAAACAGCAAUUACCUUCCACUUCUGUAAUAAACCCAGUCACUUCAAGCAGGACUGCAGAAAGUUUCUAGCAUCACAGAAGAUUAACGAACUGAGACAACUCGAGACCCCAAUAGAUGUCACACUUGGUGAUGGACGGUGCCUAAAAGCAAAGCUGAAGGGACAGUGAAGAUGGAGACACUAUACUGCCAGAUAGAAGCAUCAAGAAAUGCAAGCUGGAGAAUGUUCUGUUCAUCCCGAAACCGUCAUAAAAAAUUAUACAGUCUACUGAGCAUAUCCAAAACAUCCGACUCAGCAAAACUGGAUGUGAGGUUUUCAACAAAUAAAAAAAACGGUCGAUUCUUUGCUACCAAAGACCAAUCUGCGGAAGAGAGCAAUCGACUAGAUAUAUGGCACAGACGAUAAUUUAUAGUCAAUUUGGAGAGACAGCCUAUGAACAAUGACAAAUACGAUUAUUGCAGGCCCGGAUCUAGGGGGUGGGUUUCAGAGGUUGCAACCCCCCAAAGACUCACAAAAACUACCUCAACCUACACGUGUGUGAUUGUGGCUAAUUAUAAAUCAGCAAUGUGCAUGGUUAACUUACAAGCUGUGAACUAUAUGAAGUAUUUUAUAGUAUCUGUACAAGUCCAGGACACCCUAAGUAGUAAAUACACAUUCAUUCCACACAUACCGUUCACAU